GACGAACGCUGGCGGCGUGCUUAACACAUGCAAGUCGAACGAAGAGCGAUGGAAGCUUGCUUCUAUCAAUCUUAGUGGCGAACGGGUGAGUAACGCGUAAUCAACCUGCCCUUCAGAGGGGGACAACAGUUGGAAACGACUGCUAAUACCGCAUACGAUCUAAUCUCGGCAUCGAGGAUAGAUGAAAGGUGGCCUCUACAUGUAAGCUAUCACUGAAGGAGGGGAUUGCGUCUGAUUAGCUAGUUGGAGGGGUAACGGCCCACCAAGGCGAUGAUCAGUAGCCGGUCUGAGAGGAUGAACGGCCACAUUGGGACUGAGACACGGCCCAGACUCCUACGGGAGGCAGCAGUGGGGAAUCUUCCGCAAUGGACGAAAGUCUGACGGAGCAACGCUGCGUGAGUGAUGACGGCCUUCGGGUUGUAAAGCUCUGUUAAUCGGGACGAAAGGCCUUCUUGCGAAUAGUGAGAAGGAUUGACGGUACCGGAAUAGAAAGCCACGUCUAACUACGUG
rnacentral:rRNA from 1 species